GAUGAACGCUGACGGCGUGCCUAAUACAUGCAAGUCGAGCGAACAGACGAGGAGCUUGCUCCUCUGACGUUAGCGGCGGACGGGUGAGUAACACGUGGAUAACCUACCUAUAAGACUGGGAUAACUUCGGGAAACCGGAGCUAAUACCGGAUAAUAUAUUGAACCGCAUGGUUCAAUAGUGAAAGACGGUUUUGCUGUCACUUAUAUAUGGAUCCGCGCCGCAUUAGCUAGUUGGUAAGGUAACGGCUUACCAAGGCAACGAUGCGUAGCCGACCUGAGAGGGUGAUCGGCCACACUGGAACUGAGACACGGUCCAGACUCCUACGGGAGGCAGCAGUAGGGAAUCUUCCGCAAUGGGCGAAAGCCUGACGGAGCAACGCCGCGUGAGUGAUGAAGGUCUUCGGAUCGUAAAACUCUGUUAUUAGGGAAGAACAAAUGUGUAAGUAACUAUGCACGUCUUGACGGUACCUAAUCAGAAAGCCACGGCUAACUACGUG
rnacentral:rRNA from 1 species